rnacentral:rRNA from 1 species
UCCCAGACUCCUACGGGAGGCAGCAGUGAGGAAUAUUGGUCAAUGGGCGCGAGCCUGAACCAGCCAAGUCGCGUGAGGGAUGACGGCCCUACGGGUUGUAAACCUCUUUUGUCGGGGAGCAAAUUCCGUUACGUGUAACGGAGUCGAGAGUACCCGAAGAAAAAGCAUCGGCUAACUCCGUGCCAGCAGCCGCGGUAAUACGGAGGAUGCGAGCGUUAUCCGGAUUUAUUGGGUUUAAAGGGUGCGUAGGCGGAAGGUUAAGUCAGCGGUAAAAUGUCGGGGCUCAACACCGGCCUGCCGUUGAAACUGGUCUUCUUGAGUGAGCGAGAAGUAUGCGGAAUGCGUGGUGUAGCGGUGAAAUGCAUAGAUAUCACGCAGAACUCCGAUUGCGAAGGCAGCAUACCGGCGCUCAACUGACGCUGAGGCACGAAAGCGUGGGGAUCGAACAGGAUUAGAUACCCUUGUA